UACAUCAACGUAUUCACACUGGAGAAAAACCUUACAGCUGUGAAGAGUGUGGGAAAACUUUCACUCAAUCAGGUGCUCUCAAAACACAUCAACGUAUUCAUACUGGAGAAAAACCGUACUGGUGUGAAGAGUGUGGGACAACUUUCACUACAUCAGGUUCUCUAGAAUCACAUCACCGUAUUCACUCAGGAGAAAAACCUUACUGGUGUGAAGAGUGUGGGAAAACUUUCACUACAUCAAGUGCUCUCAAAAGACAUCUUCGUGUUCACUCAGGAGAAAAACCAUAGUGGUUCUAAGAGUGUAGGAGCCGCAAUUAAGCAUAUUUUGUUGUUUUCACAGUUUACAAUAAACAAUUCCCAUCUAUUGGCCUUGUGUUGGGUAAUCCUUUUUUCCAUUACAGAUCCCAUCCCAACAGCGCCAUCUGUUGACGUAACGUCAGAAUUGACAGGCAUAAUGUUCACUGUUCCUUUAAAAGUGGACCUAUCAUGCUAUAUUUGAAUAAUAUAGUGUAGGACCAUACCUAUAUAAGGCAUAUUUAUACUUUUUAUUUUUCAAAAUACCAAACAGAUCAUGCAUUUUAGCCAUUCCUCAUUUCGCUCAAUUUAACACUGUGUUUGCAUGGGCUGAUUCUGUGAGAACAGCGCCAUCUGUUGACGUAACGUCAGAAUUGACAGGCCUAAUGUUCACUGUUUCGUUUUCUGUCCGUCUGCCGACAGCGCGCUGUUUCAUUGCUUUACAUACCAAGGUUUAAGUACACUGUGUCAAUAGUUGUAGUAUGAGCAUCGUCUGGGCUGGCCGUCUGGUAGAAUCGGUAUGCUCUUCCUCCUGUGUCCACUUCCUCUCCUGUCACCUAUGACCCCUUUUAUACACCCCACCACCAAGUGUUCAAAAUAACAUUCAGGGUGUCUUAAAAGGUAUUAAAUGUGACUUCAGGAUUCCUGCAUAUACCCUGAUAUUGCACUAUUCAUAUAAAUAAGGUAAACUGAGACACCAACAACACCCAUAAAAUGGCUCCUACAAAGAGUGUGGGAAAACCUUUUCUUAAAGUAUUCACCUUAAAGUCCAUGAGCGAGUUUCACUGUUCAUUAAUCUGCUUCAUGUAUCUAGAACAUAUCUACGAUGUUUUCAGUUUGAUUCUAUUCUCUUGUUGAAAUGAUCAGACUACCAAAAAUAAAAUGGCCUUAGAAACAGAC